AUUGCUUCUCGGCCUUUUGGCUAAGCUCUAGUAUCUGUUCUUAUCAGUUUACUAUCUGAUUUUAAAAAUAUGUAUAUAUAAAAGAGAGCAAGUAAAUAAUUUAACAUCCAUA
ensembl:snRNA U2 U2 spliceosomal RNA